rnacentral:tRNA from 4 species
AGGAGAUUGAAAGCUCAGGAUAAGCUUCUAACUUCUCCAAUAGUGGUGCAAUUCCAUUAAUCUCCCC